ACUUAGAAUCUUACGUUAAUACAUUCACAACAAAAAGACGUCUGAUUAACCACGCCGAGGCCAAUGUGAAACCUUCACGACAUUUGUAUUGCCUGUAUAACGGAGCCUAAUGAGAUAUAAACUAAGUGACACACGGCCGAGACGGGCACCUGUCGCUUGCUAUAUAUUACUUUGGCUGAGAUGUCGCCUAAACACAGUUUAUACAGAGACUAAAGAUCGGAAAACGGAGAAAACAAGGACCCCGCAAAGGCACCGCUAAGCGGAGAAUCCCCUCGCGACAUGGUUUUUUGUAGGAGGGAAAGUAUGGAACGCCAUAGCUGCCUUAUGUAUCUUUUUCUUUGAGAUGAUGGUGCUUAACUAUAUUACAGGCACGUAGCAUCAGAGGCCCACCUUUUUCUGGCAGCAACCAUUUUUCUUCAAUUUACAUAUAACAAUUUGAAUUAUCAUGGAGUUGCGCCCCCCCCCCCCCUCCCACUUUUUGGGGAGUAUGUAAAAAAUUGAAAUGAAAAUAAGGAAAUUAAGAGAGAAAUUAAAGAUUUAGAUAUACUACUUCCCCCGCUUUUUUAUGUGAUGGUGCUUUUUCAUAUGAAGGCGUUUUAUUAUAUGAUAGUGGUUUUUUAUGUGAUGGUGGUUUUUAUAUGAAGAUGCUUUAUUAAACCUUGAUUUAAAAUAAAAUCC
rnacentral:sRNA from 1 species